UUCAUAGCUGGAUAAUAUUGGUGUUUAUUUUUUCCCCUGGUAGAGUACAUAGCAUCUUCCAGCACAAUGAAAGCUAACCAAUAGAGUUGAGGUUUCUCUGUAAGGGUCAAUUUGAUUUCUUUAUUGUUGAUGACACUAGUCUGUUCUUUUUUCUCUUAUUAGAUAUUUUCUUUAUUUACAUUUCAAAUGCUAUCCCCUUUCCUAGUUUCCUCUCUGAAAAUCCCGCCUCCCCUCAUUCCCCUGUUCUCCAACCCACCUACUCCUGCUUCCUGGCCCUGGCAUUCCCCUAUACUGAGGCAUAGACUCUUCAUAAGACCAAGGGCCUCUCCUCCCAAUGAUGGCCAACAAGGCCAUCCUCUGCUCCAUAUGCUGCUAGAGCCAUGAAUCCCAUUAUGUGUUUUCUUUGAUUGGUGGUUUAGUUCCAGGGAGCUCUGGGGUUACAGGUUAGUUCAUAUUGAUGUUCCUCCUAUGGGGUUGCAGACCCCUUCAGCUCCUUGGGUACAUUCUCUAGUUCCUUCAUUGGGACACAAGUCUGUUCUAUUCUUAGCAGUGAGGUUUUACUGUCAAGUUUUGGAAAGGUAACUAAAAGAAUUGACAAAAGUUUAAUCUCUUGAGGCCUUUGGGAUCUCACUGGCUAACAAUUAAAAAAAAAAAUCAGCCAUUCCUAUGACCAGAAGUUUUGUUUGUUAGUCUCUUGUUUCUAGUAGGUGCAUAGUAGGUGCCUUGUUGCCUCCAUUUUAACUAAAAGAGUUAAAAUAUAUACAUCAAAAGAAUGUAUAUGUAGAAGAAAAUUUUUAGGAAAUGUCUAGAGGAGCAAGUUUCCACAUGGCUUUUAAAAAACAUUUCUUUGUUGUAAAGCAAGUCUCACUACAUAGCCUUGGGUGGCUGUGAGUGAACUGUGACCUCUACUACCUACAGAGUGCAGGUAUUGAAGGCCAGUGCCACCAUGCCAGGCAAUUAGGAAUUAUUUAAAAAAUGCUUAGCAGUGUGGUGAUGCAUGAUAAAGCUAAGGAAUUCCUAGCACAUCCAUUGUCCACUAAAAAAAGAAAAAGAUGUUUAAUUUGAUGGUAGAACGAAGAUUCUGUUUAAUGAAGUGGCAUUUUUAUUAUUAUUAUUAUUUUUUUUUUUUUUUACUUUAGCAAAGCAUAGCUUUGAGGAUUUAACAGUAUCCACAAGAUGUUGAGUCAGAGCUAGAGGAGACACUCAGUUUAGGGAUAGAAGACUUGAAGGUAAAUUCUUGAGUUUUCUUUGGAUGACUCAGGAUGCCUUCUUGUGUCAUGAGAUAAUGAGGGACUGCUGAAUGGGCCAUGCUUUUGCUGGGCUAGUACCUUUAUAUAGUGUGAAUGGCCACAUCUCUUGGUGAUGUCCUCUUCUGUGAAUGAUAAUACUAAAUUCUGAGAGGAUGCCAUCAGCUUCAGGUCAGCUCUUCCUACCACAACUGGCCUAUGAAUACUUUUGACUGUGGAGGGGAAAAAAACAACAACAACAACAAC
rnacentral:lncRNA from 1 species